rnacentral:tRNA from 4 species
CCGGGUUCGAGUCCCGGGCAACCCAUAUGGAAA